CAUUGAUCACGUGCUGCUGAUAAAGGGACACUGCUUUGAAUUAUACCGCUUAGCGACUUCAGUACAUGCCUCAUAGCAUGAGGCAUUAACGUGGUUAAGUCUCAAACUUAACCACGUUCCUGCUGAAGAACAGGAGGUCUGCUGGAUGGAGAAGGAAGCUCUCGUGAAAGAGGAGGAGGCUGUUACAAUACAAAAACAAGUAGGGGUUGAGGCUGUUACCGUGAAAGAAUAAGAGAAAGACGUCUCAGUUAAAGAAGAGGAAGACUCGUUCAGAAUGAAAGAGGGCGACGACGUUUCAGUGAAAGAAGUGGAGGGGGAGGUGACUGUCUCAUCGAACAAUGAAGAAGAGGAGCAAACUGGAUAUCUGGGCCCGGUUUCCCAAACGCAUCUUAAGGCGUCCGAUGGUUCUAACGAUGAACGGGCCCUGAUUAACACUAGAGAGGGACCUGACUAUCGUGGAUCCUCUGGGGGGCCUCAAAAACCUCAUGAUGCUGACAGGGUAGAGAAGAGUCUCUCCAAAUCAAAACACCUCAAGAAACACCAGCAGAGACCCACAGGGAAGAAAUCUCAUUGCUGCUCUGACUGCGGGAAAGGUUGCAAAUCUUCAUCAGAACUUCAAAUACACCAGAGAACACACACAGGAGAGAAACCUUAUAGCUGUGGUCAAUGUGG